rnacentral:rRNA from 1 species
UCCCCCCUCUAAUCAGUGAAACUGAUCUCCCCGUGAAGAAGCGGGGAUAUACAUAUAAGACGAGAAGACCCCAUGGAGCUUUAAACCUGACAGCACCCGCUCAUUCUAUACCCCAUUAUUUGCCCGACCCCUGUCUGCUCAGUUUUAGGUUGGGGUGACCACGGAGUAUAAAAUAACCUCCAUGAAGAAGGGGAUAUUUCCCUUAUUAGAGAACCACACUUCCAAGAACUAAUAAAUUAAUUUUCAAUGACCCGAUACCAGAUAAUCGAUCAACGAACCAAGUUACCCUGGGGAUAACAGCGCAAUCCACCCUGAAAGCCCUUAUUAACAGGUGGGUUUACGACCUCGAUGUUGGAUCAGGGUAUCCCAGUGGUGCAGCAGCUACUGAGGGUUCGUUUGUUCAACGAUUAAAACCCU